UCGUGGAGUGAUCUGUCUGCUUAAUUGCGUUUCACCAAGGAUCUAUAAUUUAACGUGUGUUGCGGCACUUUGACCCCUCUCUUUUAGAGAGCGCGCGUCUUAGUUUUUGCUUAGCUCACACAAUUAGAUCCUGAAAGCAACGAACGUGACCGCAACCUCUUGUUGCCUUUAUACCAAACAUGUUGUGUUAACUUCAUUGUUUCGCUUCAUGCAAAAAGGCUUUUUAAACUAGAGGG
rnacentral:rRNA from 1 species